GCUGGGCAUGGUGGCGCAUGCCUGUAAUCCCAGCUACUUGGGAGGCUGAGGCAGGAAAAUUGCUUGAGCCCAGGAGAUGGAGGUUGCAGUGAGCCAAGAUCAUCGCACCAUUGCACUCCAGCCUGGGUGACAGAGUGAGAUUCUGUCUCAA
ensembl:misc_RNA Metazoa_SRP Metazoan signal recognition particle RNA